rnacentral:lncRNA from 1 species
GCACGACUCCUGGAGGAAAGGCCUCUGACCAGCCCAGAAGAACUCCAGUGUCACAAGAGGAGAUUGAGGCUAUCUUGGUAUGAAAUGUUUCCUAUAGUGGUGUCAUGCUAAAUUUAUUCCUUCAAUUCCCUACCUGCUUAAAGCACUUUCUGCUUUUACUGAAUCCUUAGACUAAUUCACUGCCAAUCUCCAUCUCAUGCAUCCCCUAGCUCCUUCUUGAGUAAAGCUAUCAAGAUAUUGGUUCUUAGAUUUUAAGGAUUGGAACGUGGGUUUUCGACGGUGAAAGCAAACUUUAAUGUGGGAACACUCUUAAAAAAGAAAAUAUUGGCAGAUCAUUUGAAAUUCUAAGAGAUAAUUAGCAAAUGAGAAUCAGCUUUUAGAUAAAAUUGAAGUAGUUUGUGAAUGCUUAGAUGUUUGCUGAAGCUGCAUACUUCAUUUGGGAAGAAUGUGAAUGAUGUUUAGGAUAUGCAUAUUCAGCUUUUAUCUUAAAAUCAGACACCUGUUGCAACUAUUUUACAAUAUUAGUUGCUGGUCAUUGGACCAAGAGUGGUGUCCACCAUUUGAGCUCCUUUUGUUGUCCUUCCUUCACAUUUGAUACUUCUGUGUCUGAGAAUAUUUGUUGAUGAAUUUAAAUUCAACUCUGAGAAGUGUAUUUUCCUUGUCGUGCUCUUCGAACUCUUGGUAUAUGAAGGCUUUUCUAGUAAUGAACCAAUCAUGCAGCAUCUAGGUAAAAGAGGCCUAAUACGGCACUCUGUGAAGGAACACAAUUCGAGAGUAUAGUUCACGAACAUUUUGGCUUUCUCAGACAUGUACCCAUGUGUUCAGGGCAAUUGGACACAACUUUGAAGAUUACUGACUAUGAUCUACUUAUUUUUGUUUUACUCUUUAUAAUUUUUGAAGAUUUGAGACUAUAAUCUUCUUCUUGUCGUUUUGGGGUGUCAUGGAGGUUUUCAUGAUAUUGUCCUUUCUGGUCCUUUUAUACCCCGAUGGCGCUUGUAGAGGCUUCAAAUCUUAACAAUUUCCUUGAAGAAAUUUGGUUUAGCUGUUUCAA